rnacentral:lncRNA from 1 species
CAUUUUUGGCUAGUCACAGUGGUUCGGUUGCAUCGGGAGGGCACAACCACUCUAUGGCAUUGGAUGUCCAGGGGUAGAUAUAGAUUUGAGUCCAAUAACUGCUAGGUGAAAGAUCCAAUGAUGGCUUUGCAUCCGUUAGUGUACGAUGGGUCUAACUUAACUAAGAAAUAUAUCAAUAACUAUUAGGUGAGGCCAUAGGACUUAGAGACCAAAUCUGCUGC